CCUCCUCUCACGCAGGCGCAGAUGCUGCGGCCACCAGCGCGCUGGCGCUACGCCGAUUCGUCCCGAGCGCCCCUAUAGGCAUCAGAUCCAGAAAUUCUUAAAUAUCCUUGCCAGUUCCAUGCGAGCUCUUGGACUCGCACUCACGGCUGCCCUCGGCUGACGCUGCACGGGGCGCGUGGUCCCGGUGUCAUGGCGAAUCAGCGGCGCGCGGGAGGGAGCACGCGGCCUUGGCUCUGAAGCAUGGGGGCCGGGGGAACCCUGUAGGAGUGGUUGGUCCGCCCUGUCCUGCAAGAUGGACCCAGCACUGUCUGCUGUCCGACUCACCGUCCAAGAAGCUAUUCACACCCUUUCAUCCUCAGAGGAUGUAGGCCACAUCCUCUCUACCCUGGGGACCUUGAAUCGAUACCUGGGUGGAACCGAGGAUCCAGCUCUCUCUGAGAAGGAGGAGUUUACCACCAACCACUUCUCAGCCGUUCUCAGAUGUCUGGUCAGCAAGCUGAGCCCAGGUUGGCUGGAGUUAUCCCCUGAUGGCCAGCUGGAGCGGCUUUGGGAGAGCUUCUUCCUGGAGGGCCCCCCAGACCAAGCCUUCCUGGUGCUGAUGGAGGCCAUUGAGAGCACUGCUGGCCCUAGCUUCCGUCUGAUGAAGACGGCUCGGCUCCUGGAGACGUUUCUGAGCAAGGGCAGAGUGGCCGCUCUAAUGGAGGAGCAGUGUCGGCCGCAGACAAAGCCCAGCUUCCCCCUGUUCCAGGAGACGCUGCUCAGCAAGGUGGUGGGCUUGCCCGAUCACCUGGGCAACUGUCUCCAGCACGACAACCUGACCCUGUUCUUCCCCCAGAACUAUUUCCCUCUGCUCGGCCAGGAGGUCGUGCAAGCUCUAAAGGCAGUUGUGAAUUUUCUCCAAGAUGGCCUAGACUGCUCUGUCUCCUUCGUGUCUCAAGUCUUGGGGAAGGUCUGCAUCCAGGGGAGAAAGAAAGAGAUCCUGGGCGUGCUGGUGCCCCAGCUGACAGUGCUCACCCAGGACAGCUGUCUGUGGCAGCGGGUGUGCUGGCGCCUGGUGGAGCAAGUGCCUGACCGGGCAGUGGAGGCUGUGCUGACAGGGCUUGUAGAGGCCACUCACAGGCCUGAAGUCGUGUCGCGACUCCUAGGGAACGUGGUGGUGAAGAGUAAGAAAGCACAGUUUGUGAUGACCCGGAAGCUCCUGUUCCUGCAGUACCAGCACACGACAUCCAUGCUGCAGAGCCUGCUGGGGUACCUGGCUAUGGACAGUCAGCGGCGGCCACUCCUCAUACAGGUGCUGAAGGAGCUCUUGGAGACGUGGGGCAACAGCAGUGCUGUCCGUCACGCACCCCUGGAGCAGCAGUGCUACAUCAGCAAGGCCAUCCUGGUCUGCCUGGCACACCUGGGGGAGCCGGAGCUGCAGGGCAUCCGGGAUGAUUUGCUGGCCAGCAUGAUGGCAGGCGUGAAGUGUCGCCUGGACAGCAGCCUGCCCCCCGUGCGUCGCUUGGGCAUGAUCGUGGCCGAGGUCGUCAGCUCCAGGAUCCACCCCGAGGGGCCUCCCCUGAAAUUCCAAUAUGAAGAUGAUGAGAUGAGCCGUGAGAUGCUGGCCUUGGCCACCCCCUGGUCUGCGGAUGCCUGCUCCUCGGAGAACGGAGGCCCUUCCCUGGCUCCGGUUGCCACAGAGACUCCUGUUGAGACACCUGAAAAGGCAAUGGGCAGUGAUGUCCCCCCAGCUCAGCCGCAGGGCUCUGACUCAGAGCUGGACAGUGAUGAUGAGUUCAUCCCCUAUGAUAUGUCAGGGGACAAAGAGCUGAAGACCAGCAAGGAACCCCUGUAUAUCCGAGACUGCAUAGAAGCCUUGACCACAUCUGAGGACAUGGAGCGCUGGGAGGCAGCCCUGAAGGUGCUUGAGGGCAUGGUUUAUAGGAGCCCUGAGGCCACUCGGGAGGUGAGUGAGGAGCUGGCCAAGGUGCUACUGCACCUGGAAGAGAAGACCUGCGUGGCGGACUUUGAACAACUGCGUCAGAGAGCGCUGGUGGCUGUCACGGUCGCACACCCGGAGCAGGUAGCCAAGUAUCUGACCUCACAGUUCUAUGGCCUGAACUACAGCCUCCGGCAGCGCAUGGACAUCCUGGAUGUCCUUGUUCUGGCUGCUCAGGCACUGUCUCGGCCACGGAGCCUCCAGAGGCCUUCCCAGCACGGUCCUCCUGGGUCUGGCAUCUUGUGUUCACCAGCACUAGAUAUUUCUCAGCCUGGCAGCGCUGUGGUCCCUGACUGGCAGGUGGUUGUGGAGGAGCGGAUCAAAAGCAAGACCCGGAGGUUCUCCAAGGGCUGUCCUCGGAGGGAGCUGUCAGGUGGCCCCAAUGAAUUCAGCUCCGUGGCCGGCUGCUUCUUCUUCCCACUCCUUCAGCACUUUGACAGGCCUCUGGUGACCUUCGACCUUUUAGGAGAUGAUCAGUUGGUACUUGGAAGACUGGCCCACACCUUAGCGUCCCUGAUGUACCUGGCUGUUAACACCACAGUGGCUGUGCCUAUGGGUAAGGCCCUGCUCGAGUUUGUGUGGGCCCUUCGCUUCCAUGUGGACACGUGAGUGGCCCACGCGGCUAAGGGAAGCACAGGCUCUCUAAGGCUGCAUGCCUAACGUUUCCUAACAAGAAGGGGCCAAUCAGGCCCGAGGGGGCUCAGAGAGGGCUGGAGUGAGCUUUGCUGCAGGUUGGCCUGCUGGACUCUGUACACGUGGGAGGUCCUUCCCAUAGGCUCGUUGGAGGCUCCAUUCACAUUGUCCUAUUUCGCCUUCCCCCACCCUGUUGAUUGGUAGUUAUGUUCGCCGGGGCUUGCUGUCUGCUGUCUCCUCGGUCCUCCUCAGUGUACCCACAGAGCGGCUAUUGGGGGACCUGCCAGAUGAGCUGCUAGAAGCCAGAUCCUGGUUGGCAGAUGUGGCUGAGAAGGAUGUGGAUGAGGACUGCAGGGAGCUGGCGGUGAGGGCGCUGCUGCUUCUGGAGCGACUCAAAGAUAAGCUCCUGUCCAUUUCCUCCCCAUAGCCCCGAGGACUCCACAGGGGCCCAGAUGGACCCUCGGCUGUCCCCACAAGGGAAGGCCUCUGAGGAGCGGGUCCACACCUGAGCUUUACGUGGCAAUCAGGCCUGGAGGGGCCGGUUGGUCCCAGUGUGCAUAAAGUAAGCUCCUACCAGUCUGACCUACCCUGCCGUUAGUUAUGCCCUGGCAAGGCUGAGCAUUCAGCUAAAGGUACCGGAGCCUGUGCCAUGGGACUCAACAGCCUUGGACUGACCAGAAUUUGGACUGGGGGUGUGAGGGCCAAGAGGUGCCUCCUCCUGAGAGCAGAACUUUGGGCUCUGGCCAGGGUCUCAAGAGCGAAAAUAAAAAGAUAAGAUUCAGCUUCUAGUGUACCCCAAUGGGGAUGCUAGAACAGAGACCAGGGGUAGCCUGCUGGGUCCCCAGGGGCUUCUUGACAGUGUUCCUGUGAGAAUAAAUGGGGCUGUAGAUGUCA